CUUCUUUAACUCUGGACUUGAUCUUCCAGGUGAGGGCAGCCACAACACAGGAUGGUGGAAGGAUGGAAUCAGGGUUGGAAGGGUCCUCGUUGGAGACAUAUUGACGAGAGAGAGCAUCUGGUUUCACAUUCUUGGAACCAGGAUGGUAGAGAAGAAACCAGCGCCUACAGGGGAUGAUGAGGGUCGGAUAAUGCCAGCCACGAGGGAGUCCUUUACGUUCAUGAAAAUGCUGAACAUUCCAAAGGAGAAUAAUAAGUGAUUCCAGACUUUUCAACAGGCACAAGCAAAUGCGGAGUGAUAUAACUGAUGUGUAGUAUAAUACUAUACAGACCUGUCAUCUCACUCAUUUUGGUAUAAAAAUAUAAUCUAUUUGGAUGUAUCGCAUACUAAAACAUAAAUAUACAAUGAUUUGUUUAAAUGGAUUGCGAUUUGUCACGCUCCUUUCGGAUAUUAAUCUAAAUCUGAGCAAAGGAAACUCGUUCACAUGUCUGACUAACAUCAGUUAUGCAAAAAAAAUCUGUCAACACACAGAUAUAUUGCAAAUAAUUUAGGCAAAUAUCGAUUGCAAACUAUUAGGAUAGAUGCAUCCCCAAGUUUUAGCCCUGUGAUUAAUUGCUAU